AUAUACACUAUAUUAUGUAUAAAUAUGUACACACUUCCUCCAUAGACCCACAUAUAGAGUGUGUAUAUGUUGCACAUACAUACGUGUUUAU
rnacentral:pre_miRNA from 1 species